ACCUUGGGCACCAGAUACUCACUUUCUCUCUCUAUCUUAUUCUCUUCACUCUUCUCUUCUCUAAGUUCUCUCUUGUCGGCAGCUCUUCCUCUUCCCUGUCACACCCACAAGUCACAGUUCAAAGCCUCUGUCUCACCACUAGCAAUCCUCUCUCUCAAUCACUCUCAGGAAUCAUAGUGGCUCACGACUCAGCCCUCUCUCUCACCAUAUCUCUCGAAGUCGGGUUUCGGUAUGCUAAGGCUCUCUCUAUGAAUUCCCCUCUCACGCGACACUCUCUCCCUGUGUUGCCCACGCUUGAUACACAUGCUCAUUGCUCACAGAGCGGCAGCAUUGUCGUGGAGGCCCCAGCUAGGCAUUUGGCAGUGGCGGCGUGGAGGCCCGGCUUGGCAGUUGGCAGCGGCGGCGUGGUCCCUGCGACAGCGGUAUGAUCCUAGCAACGGACAACAACGAUGGCAGAGGUUUCAAAGAGCUCUAUCAUUGGGAAAGGUAUAACAAAAAAAAUGUCAUGAUGUUGCCCCAAUUGAUUAUUCCCAUAUUUAAAGUGGACAAGAAGUGUUCAUUCAAAGAAAGAGAUUGAGAGAAAGGUUGCUAGUCAUUGAUUAAUUUAGUCAAUUGAGUUAUAUAUGCUCUUUUUUUUUUAUUGUACUAAUAAGUAGGAAUUUCUUCUAUUUUAUAU